rnacentral:miRNA from 1 species
CAUCAAGUUUGCUGUUUAUGACGUCGAUAUUCGACGUCAUAAACACCAUCAAGUUUGGUGUUUAUGACGUCGAAUAUCGACGUCAUAAACACCAUCA